AUUGAACGCUGGCGGCAGGCCUAACACAUGCAAGUCGAGCGGAUGAAGGGAGCUUGCUCCUGGAUUCAGCGGCGGACGGGUGAGUAAUGCCUAGGAAUCUGCCUGGUAAUGGGGGAUAACGUCCGGAAACGGGCGCUAAUACCGCAUACGUCCUGAGGGAGAAAGUGGGGGAUCUUCGGACCUCACGCUAUCAGAUGAGCCUAGGUCGGAUUAGCUAGUUGGUGGGGUAAAGGCCUACCAAGGCGACGAUCCGUAACUGGUCUGAGAGGAUGAUCAGUCACACUGGAACUGAGACACGGUCCAGACUCCUACGGGAGGCAGCAGUGGGGAAUAUUGGACAAUGGGCGAAAGCCCGAUCCAGCCAUGCCGCGUGUGUGAAGAAGGUCUUCGGAUUGUAAAGCACUUUAAGUUGGGAGGAAGGGCAGUAAGUUAAUACCUUGCUGUUUUGACGUUACCAACAGAAUAAGCACCGGCUAACUUCGUG
rnacentral:rRNA from 1 species